AGGCCACUGCUAUCGGAGUUCGAUUAAGCCAUGCGAGUCGAGAGGUGUAAGACCUCGGCAUACUGCUCAGUAACACGUGGACAACCUAACCUGAAGAGGGGGAUAACCCCGGGAAACUGGGGAUAAUACCCCAUAGAUUAUGGAUGCUGGAAUGCUCUGUAGUUGAAAGGUCCGCCGCUUCAGGAUGGGCCUGCGGCCGAUUAGGUUGUUGUUGGGGUAACGGCCCAACAAGCCUGUAAUCGGUACGGGUUGUGGGAGCAAGAGCCCGGAGGUGGAUUCUGAGACACGAAUCCAGGCCCUACGGGGCGCAGCAGGCGCGAAAACUUUACAAUGCGAGAAAUCGUGAUAAGGGAACUCUGAGUGCCCGUAAAAUCGGGCUGUCCAUCUGUUUAAAUAACAGGUGAAGAAAGGGCCGGGCAAGACCGGUGCCAGCCGCCGCGGUAAUACCGGCGGCUCGAGUGGUGGCCACUAUUACUGGGCUUAAAGCGUCCGUAGCUGGUCUGUUAAGUCUCUGGGGAAAUCUUCCGGCUCAACCGGAAGGCGUCUCAGGGAUACUGGCAGACUAGGGACCGGGAGAGGUGAGAGGUACUCCAGGGGUAGGAGUGAAAUCCUGUAAUCCUUGGGGGACCACCUGUGGCGAAGGCGUCUCACCAGAACGGCUCCGACAGUGAGGGACGAAAGCUGGGGGAGCAAACCGGAUUAGAUACCCGGGUAGUCCCAGCCGUAAACGAUGCGCGUUAGGUGUAUCGGUGACCACGAGUCACCGAGGUGCCGAAGAGAAAUCGUGAAACGCGCCGCCUGGGAAGUACGGUCGCAAGGCUGAAACUUAA
rnacentral:rRNA from 1 species